rnacentral:rRNA from 1 species
UACGGAGGGGGCUAGCGUUGUUCGGAAUUACUGGGCGUAAAGCGCGCGUAGGCGGACCUGCAAGUCGGGGGUGAAAGCCCGAGGCUCAACCUCGGAACUGCCUUCGAUACUGCGGGUCUCGAGUCCGGGAGAGGUGAGUGGAAUUCCUAGUGUAGAGGUGAAAUUGGUAGAUAUUAGGAAGAACACCAGUGGCGAAGGCGACUUACUGGACACAUAUUGACGCUGAGGUGCGAAAGCGUGGGGAGCAAACAGG